rnacentral:rRNA from 1 species
GAUGAACGCUGGCGGCGUGCCUAAUACAUGCAAGUCGAGCGAACAGAUGAGGAGCUUGCUCCUCUGACGUUAGCGGCGGACGGGUGAGUAACAUGUGGCUAACCUACCUAUAAGACUGGGAUAACUUCGUGAAACCGGAGCUAAUACCGGAUAAUAUAUUGAACCUCAUGGUUCAAUAGUGAAAGACGGUUUUGCUGUCACUUAUAGAUGGAUCCGCGCCGCAUUAGCUAGUUGGUAAGGUAACGGCUUACCAAGGCAACGAUGCGUAGCCGACCUGAGAGGGUGAUCGGCCACACUGGAACUGAGACACGGUCCAGACUCCUACGGGAGGCAGCAGUAGGGAAUCUUCCGCAAUGGGCGAAAGCCUGACGGAGCAACGCCGCGUGAGUGAUGAAGGUCUUCGGAUCGUAAAACUCUGUUAUUAGGGAAGAACAAAUGUGUAAGUAACUAUGCACGUCUUGACGGUACCUAAUCAGAAAGCCACGGCUAACUACGUG